rnacentral:lncRNA from 1 species
GUUUAUUGUUUUUUUUGUGCACCAUUUUUUUCAUUACUAGAUUAAACGAUUACAAUAGUAGAAGCAACAUCGCUCAUAACACGAUAUGCAAACCAAAAGGCAAGAUCCUUAACAUAUAAAUCAAAGUAGUACAAGGAUAGAGACACAAACUUGUCAAAGUUUGAUUAAAUGUUAUAAAAAAAAUCAAAGUUGCCACUUGCGAUCUUUUCUAUGAAAGAGUUACACUGCACGUCAAUCUCCGCAAGUAAUAAACUAUUAGUCACGGUAAAAUGUGACGUCGCAACAUCAUCCCGAAUCUCGAUUCUCAUCGGAAUAAGAAUUGUUGUAUCUACCAGCCCCAAGUUGACCAUCACAUAAGAUAACAAACGGUUAGGAAAUCGGUGAAUUUUUACGGUUUUGAUUUCCGUAGAGUGGUCACCUCUUACAAAGAGGGAUUGUGGUGAGAAUAUCAUCUCCUUUGAUUAGGAGGAAGUGGAGAAAGAUCUCUCUCGGCCUUGUCGAGAGGAAGUUUGACCAAAAUUUAUCUAGAAAAGAUAGUUUUAGAGGGCUGGUUGGUUCUAGCUUUAGGCACUUCAGUGAUGGAACUGAUAAUGGACAUUUUCUUGAGAGAGAGCUAGUUGAUAAUGAUUGAUUCCUGAACACCAGAAGACCAGGCAAGUGACUGUUGGAAGAAAUGCUCCAAAGGUCUUGUGAGGGCUCCCGAAGAUGUCCUCUUGAACAUAAAAUGAAUAUGCCAAUGGUUGCAGGAUCAGAUUAUGCGAGUCAGUAUACAGAUUUAUCAAAGCCUAGGAAAGAUUGAUCCAUAUGAGCAGAGCCAAAAAAGAACUCGGUUAUGGCAAGAUUUGAAACAAAGCUACUGAACCUUUUGCCUUCACGCCAUAAUAAGUUUGAGCAGUUCUCCCCCGUAGGGAGAUUGGUCCUCGAACAGAAAGUCGAUGGUACAUACCAGUGAAAAAGUAGAUCUGUCAAGAGGAAAUAUCAUAAGAAAUAAAAGCCGACAGAUUCACCCGACAGUGCUACAGGAACAGAGAGAUCUUGGUGUGAGAUAGGAAAGCUACACCUAGAAGAAGCAGCCUCAAACCCCACCAAUAAACGUUGAGCAAAGGUUCAUGAGUAUAUAUCUUUGAGGCUUUCAUUCGAGAAGUGGUUGUCAGACACAGUGGCAGAGGAGACUGAAGUCGGUGAACAGAGAAUAAGUAGCCAAAGAGGGAGCAUCACAGUGAGAAACGGAUUCAUCCGGCUUUGCUUCCACCUCCGUCGCGAGAACCGAUGAAAACUCCAGUCACCACGAAACAGCAGAAUCAAAAACGGACAGAACAUACACGAAAGGUUUGAGAAGAGCAAAGAGACGAGGAGGCAGGAGAGACGAGACGGGAAGUACCGGCGCCAGAGAGAUCUAGCUUCAUUCACCGGUGCCAGAGAAGGUGGAGAUAGGAUCUGACUCGAUUAUUAUGUUUGAGAGCGGCUAGGACGAACUGCUCUAAAGUUUUUUUAUUGAAUAUCAUACUCUCGUGCUGAUUG